CAUCAAUGUCACCACUGAGUAUAAACAGAUUUCACAUGAACAAAGAUCCUCGUUCUAGGCCCCAUACAGCGAGAGGGAGGUCGCCAUAUUUCACUUUGGGAAAACGCAGAUUCCCACGUGAUAAAUAUUUGUCCGAACCGUUUCUCAGCGACAGACUGGGAAUCUAAUUUUAUUCUCCAGCUGGGAUGGCAUACACCCUUCCUGCGAAGAUCCAGCGUUUUCUUGUGCUGUCCGUAUUCUUCUGGCUUAUUUGAUGGUUUGCUUUUUUAUUUUUGAUCUUCUAGUUAUUUUUGAUCUGAACAUCAACACUGGACCUUGUUGGGUAACCAAGACACGACCUUAGGAGACUUCAGAAGCUCGCUAUGCCGUCAUCAAUUUUACGAAGGAAGCCUCUAGAUAAAGCAGAAGUUAAUGGCCAUCAGAAACCGGAAAGGAGGGUGCGUUUUAGAGAUCCAGAGGUAAUCUACUUGCAUGCCAGCCACCAUUGUUCCGGCGGCGUAUUGUCGCUCCUGAUAAUCGCCGUUUGUGUUUUGCUGAUCAUGAUCGCUCUUCUGUAUUGUCACCACGUGCAGCUGGGCUUCGGCGUCUUCAAAUCGAGAUUCGUAAUCUUCAUUCUCCGCCUAAAACACAAUGCUGCAAUCUGUUGGAAUCUGUUGAGGAAGCAACAAUAAUAUUUCCACAUCUUGUAACCUGGAAAAAACUGAGCGAUUGUAUCAACAACAAAAAACGCAUCUUUCUCGAAAUUCUUUACAAAAUAGAAACAAAUCCAAGAAAUAUAACAGAGGACGUAAUCACUCUAAUAGUGAUAGGGAUCAUUUCUGCAGCAGAAUGGACUACACCCGAUCAAUGGUGGAUAAGGAUGAGGACAAUCCUGUUUCAUUCCACUGCUAUAUGGACAAUUCUGUCUCUUUUCUCCUGAGAGAUUAAAGUGUUACUAAGGGACAUCAUUUUUAUUUAUAUUUUUUUGUGUAAAAUAAAAAGGUUAUACUCCCCUUCCCU